rnacentral:rRNA from 1 species
ACACAUGCAAGUCGAGGGGCAGCAUGGUCUUAGCUUGCUAAGACUGAUGGCGACCGGCGCACGGGUGAGUAGCACGUAUCCAACCUGCCGUCUACUCUUGGACAGCCUUCUGAAAGGAAGAUUAAUACAAGAUGGCAUCAUGAGUCCGCAUGUUCACAUGAUUAAAGGUAUUCCGGUAGACGAUGGGGAUGCGUUCCAUUAGAUAGUAGGCGGGGUAACGGCCCACCUAGUCUUCGAUGGAUAGGGGUUCUGAGAGGAAGGUCCCCCACAUUGGAACUGAGACACGGUCCAAACUCCUACGGGAGGCAGCAGUGAGGAAUAUUGGUCAAUGGGCGAGAGCCUGAACCAGCCAAGUAGCGUGAAGGAUGACUGCCCUAUGGGUUGUAAACUUCUUUUAUAAAGGAAUAAAGUCGGGUAUGUAUACCCGUUUGCAUGUACUUUAUGAAUAAGGAUCGGCUAACUCCGUGCCAGCAGCCGCGGUAAUACGGAGGAUCCGAGCGUUAUCCGGAUUUAUUGGGUUUAAAGGGAGCGUAGAUGGAUGUUUAAGUCAGUUGUGAAAGUUUGCGGCUCAACCGUAAAAUUGCAGUUGAUACUGGAUAUCUUGAGUGCAGUUGAGGCAGGCGGAAUUCGUGGUGUAGCGGUGAAAUGCUUAGAUAUCACGAAGAACUCCGAUUGCGAAGGCAGCCUGCU